GGCCCCCAAAUAUUCUUUGUUUGCUCUGGACCACUUGACGCUACCUGCCAGAAAAGGAUCAAUAAUGUUUGUCUCUUGCUAGAGGAAUAUGCAGCUCUGUAGUUUUAUUUAGACAGACUAUUGGCAGGGAUAUACAUCAGAGGAAACCAAAAGCCAGAUGGAAUAGUUCCUGAAUGAAAUUUUAUUCCUGUUCGCAAUUAUUUCGAAGGGGGAUACCCUCUGGAUCAGAAUUAAAAUGCUCUGGUUUCAAGGAAAUAGCCUGCAGAUUGCCAGAUCCUCCUUUGGACUCUUGAGAAAUCUCUCUGCCUCUAACACGGCUCUGCCUGUGCUGACCUUAUUCACAAAGCACCCAUGCCCCCUAUGUGAUGAAGCUAAAGAAGUGCUCCAGCCUUAUAAAAACAGGGUAAUUUCCACGUUACAGACGGGAUAGAUACCGUUUACUGUAUAAACUGUCUGCCUGGAUCCUUUCCUUAAGAAAAGAUUUAAUGGUUUUCAGUUAGCGUUUGUCUCUAUUCCUCAGAGAGCUUAGUACUAAUUUCCAUGAGCUCAUUACCUGAAUAGUGCCCGACUCCUUUCUCACUGGUUCUUGCUCUGAUUCAGGGUGAACUAUCGGGUAGGCUGUUCAUGCUAACUUUACACUUUGGGCCCGCUGCUUCUAUCUUAUUCUGUAACUCCCAUGACGAGUUUUCCUUUAGCAAACCAUAGUAGCUUGACUAUUCUUACACUAAGACGCUUAUGUCUUGAUUUCUAGGCAGCGUCCCAGCUGGGACACAUCUUGUUUCAUCGGGAACAGAGCAGAGCCCUGCUGCUGAAUGGAGCAGGUGUAACUAUGAAAACCAGAAUGUAGAGUCCAGUGUAAUGAAACCAGUCGGGCUUUGUAAAUUUAAGCCAUUCAAACAGUCGGGCUCAGCAUAUCGCUGCAGCUGUAGCAUUGCUCCAUGAUCCGAGAGGUGGAGUGCUUUAACCUAUCCAUGUUUUAGUUUAUUUUACAGGAGGUGGACAUCACACUUCCCGAAAAUUCUACUUGGUAUGAAAGGUAUAAAUUUGACAUCCCCGUCUUCCAUUUGAAUGGCCAGUUUCUGAUGAAGCACCGAGUAAAUACCUCAAAGCUUGAAACACAGCUUCUGAAACUUGAGCAGCAGGUGCUGGAGACAAACUGAUGUCUUCUGAUUGAUGCAAGUCCUCGGAUGAGGCGUUUCCUUACAGGCAUCCUGUGAACUAAGAAGAACACAUUGUAGAGCGAGGGAAGCUGUAGGAAUGAAGAAGUCUAUUUGUUGAGUCAAUCUUUCCCCUUUGCGACCGUGGAUGCACCUCUCCUGCACGGGACAGUACCCUGAUAGGAAGCAGGCUCUGCAGUCCGGCUGCCAAGCAGCCCUGGAACCCAACGUCAUGGAGCUCCUCUGAGAUGUCCUUUCAACAUUACAAAGCUCUGAGCAGCUUAUGGCCAACUCCGCUCAUCUUCUCAACUUUGAGAAAUUUUCUUCAUAUUUUACAACCAGCCACCUGGUUUGUAAGGUGGUUAACUAAAACUGAGAGAAGCCACAUUUGGGACAGAGGUCAUUCAGCUGAAAUCACUUAUCCUUGUGGAUGUAAGCUUGGAGUUGUAUUCUACUUCACUGAUCUCUUCUGCACAGCAACGUUUAACCUCAUGUCUCCCACGUGGCAGAAAGAAUAUGUGGUCAGCGAGACCUUCACCUCUAUUUCAUGAUGUAACCAGCAGUCCUUGCUGGGGCUCCACUCAGUCAAGAGGAACUCAAAGGAGACAAUUGUUUGAUGUCUGUGGGGUCAGAUGGUGGACUCGUUGUUGGGGGUUUAGAAGUCUCUGCACUGGGGCCAUGCGCUGAGCCACCCCAAAGCCCUUCCCUCCGUCUUUGGGUCUAAGAACAUCUUACCGCAUCGCAUCGCCUGAGUAAGGAACUCAGCCAGAAGGAAACAAUGCUGUUUGACUUCAAAAUCAUGGAUGCUGCACUCAGAUGACACUCGCUAAGCUGCCAAACAUGUCUAUCUAGCAGAUACUGUAAGGACUUUCUGAACACCUCUCUAACAUACGAGGAAGGUAGUCCUGCUGAGGAUGCAAUGCAAUUCUUCCUUUUUUAUUACUAUCGCAAAUAUAUAUAUAUAUAAAUGUAUAAUUUAGAUGAUAAUCAAAA
rnacentral:lncRNA from 1 species